AUGUUCUUGGUAUUAAAAAAAAAGCAUAUUUGUCACAGAAAUUUAGUUAACAUCUUACAACUGAACAUGUAUGUAUGUUGCUUAGAUAAAUGUAAUCACUGUAAACAUCUAUAUGAUCUGGGAUUUUGUUUUUAUUUUGAAAUGGGAGCUUUUUUGUUUACAAGUUCAUUAAAAACUAAAAACUGUUUCUGUAAGGAAAUGAGAUUUUUUUUAAACAACAAAAAAUGCCUUGCUGACUCACUAUUAAAUAAAAAUCUCCCCAAUUUUUUGAUAGACUACUUCAAGCCAUUUGUUACAUGGUAUUCCUUUGCAAGUCAAUUUAGGUUUCGUGUUAUAACUUUUCCUCUUUUUUUAAGAAAAAUGAAAAAAGUAAUUCUUUUGUCUGAAGGGGAAAGGCAUUCUUUCAUUUUUUUCUUUUUUUUUUUUUUUUUUUAUGACUUGCAGGCACAAUAUCUAGUACUGCAACUGCCAGAACUUGGUAUUGUAGCUGCUGCCCGCUGACUAGCAGCUGGACUGAUUUUGAAUAAAAAUGAAAGCAUUAAAGGGUUUCCCUACAAAACAUUUUUCUUUAAAAUACUUUUGAAAUGGCUAUAAGCAGUUGACUUUCACCCUUGGAGAGCAUCACACUGUGUGAGGUUCAGUGAUUGUUGACCCUCCCCAGCCCCUCCUGCUUCUUUAAGUUAUCUGUGUGCGUGCGCUUCCUCUCAAUCUUCUUUGCACGCUCAUUUCUUUUUCUCUGACCCAUGAGAAAGGAAAACUUACUGAUGAUAAUUUUUAAAUAGUGUAAUUUAUUCAUUUAUAGCAUGUCAGGAUAAAUUAAAAGAACAUUUGUCUGGAAAUGCUGCCGGGAGCCUAUUGUGUAAAUGUAGGUAUUUUGUAAAAUAACCUUGAAAUUGUAAAUUGACACGUGUUUGGUCAGAUUGUGUCAAGUUUAAUUUGUUUUGUUUUCUUUUUUCUUUUUUUUAUUUGAAAACUACUUUAGCAAUAAUUAAUUCCAUGAUUAUCACAUUCUGCCAUUAAGGGAUAUUAGUACCGUAAUACUGAAGAAAUUUUAUUAAGUCUGAACUUCUGGGGUAGGCAGCUUCUUUGUUUCUUUUCUAUCCACCCUUGUCGGUUGAGGUAUUUGUUUCUUGACUAAUAAACCCUUUGAUACUUUUAGCCAGAAAUCAGUCUCAUAAAGCUAUUUUUGAGUAUAGUUUGUGUAAAAUAAAAAUGUUUAGCUUUGGUAAUAACUUCCAAGCUGAACUCCCUCUAGCAAGAUAUUUUUCAGUGCUUUUAUUUACUAUGCACUUAGACUAUGCACUUUUUCUGAAAUAUUUUUGUAACACUUUUUUGUAUUUUUGCCAUUUGAAAAGGUUGUGGUGUAGUUGGUCUGUAAUUAAGUUGCAGAUUUAAAACUGCUGUUAGCUUUGUAAAUCAAAAUAUAGGUGUUUUUUGUCCUGGUAUAUCGUCAUUCCAUCUGCAGCUGGAGCUGGAAUCCCAUUGAUCUUCUAGCUACCAUUCAUUUUCUUCACUGUUCACAAAAGAAGAGUGUGAAAUUCAGUGAAUGCUGUUACUAAUCCUGUUACGAGAUGAAUCUCAUUUCACCAAAAUUAAAUUAUGUUUUUCCGCUAAAAUGAUGAUACAAGUUGAAGACACAUCACUCUGAAAUUGGAAGACCUCACCACUUAAGGCUCCACAGUGGCUUACUCAGCUGAACUCUAGCAGUGUAUGUUUGAAACAGCCAAAGAUGGCGAUGAACCAAGUGUAAAUUGAUCUAAGCAGCCCAUGCAGUUUGUGUUGAAUCAACAAACAGUGUAUUGUUGAAGUGAAAUUAUUUUCUGAAAUGACUUGUUAGACCAGUUUUGAGGACAUACUCAAAAGUAGAGUAAUAAUGGCUCCUGGGAUGGAGAAAUAUGAGAUGAACCUGGAACAUUCUAUUAUGGUGCCACAAAGGAAAUCUAAAAAAAAAAAAAAAAAAAAAAGUGGUUGGCUAGGAGCAGUGGCACACGCCUGUGAUUCCAGCACUUUGGGAGGCCGAAGUGGGCAGGAGUUCAAGACCAGCCUGGCCAACAUAGUGAAACCCUGUCUCUACUAAAAAUACAAAAAUUAGCCGGGUGUGGUGGCGGGCGCCUGUAAUCCCAGCUUUUCAAGAGGCUGAGGCAGAAGAAUCGCUUGAACCCGGGAGAUGGAGGUUGCAGUGAGCUGAGAUCGUGCCACUGCACUCCAGCCUGGGCGUUGCAGUGAGACUCCGUCUCAACAACAACAAAAAGGUGGAUACAUGUCAAAAGGGCACAGGAGCCACUUGAAGGAUUAUACUUGCUAAAUCUGUGUCAAUUAUCAAAAUAAACUGGUAGCAACGUUA